UUAGCAUCCAAACCCAAAGGCUGCUGCUUUUUCAUGUGGCAACUUAAACGGAAGUGCUGACAUCAAACAUAUCUCUGUCACCUUUGUGGGGCUGGGUGGUGCCCUCAGAGUGAAUUUAGAGGUUUUACACUG